AGUAACGCGCGAGGAACCUGCCUCAAAGAGGGGGACAACAGUUGGAAACGACUGCUAAUACCGCAUAAGCCCACGGCUCGGCAUCGAGCAGAGGGAAAAGGAGCAAUCCGCUUUGAGAUGGCCUCGCGUCCGAUUAGCUAGUUGGUGAGGUAAUGGCCCACCAAGGCGACGAUCGGUAGCCGGACUGAGAGGUUGAACGGCCACAUUGGGACUGAGACACGGCCCAG
rnacentral:rRNA from 1 species